AGGGAGAGGAGCAGGUCAAGGAGGUAGAGGAGCGGGCCAAGGAGGGAGAGGAGCAGGUCAAGGAGGUAGAGGAGCGGGCCAAGGAGGGAGAGGAGCAGGUCAAGGAGGUAGAGGAGCGGGCCAAGGAGGGAGAGGAGCAGGUCAAGGAGGUAGAGGAGCAGGCCAAGGAGGGAGAGGAGAAGGAGGGCGAGCAAGACAACGCAUCUUCAUCACAGAUGAAAUGAGAGCAACGGUCAUUGACCACGUCAAUUGUCCACGGCAUGACAAUGACCGAAGCUGGACAACGAGUCCAACCAAACCUAAGCCGAUUCUCAGUGGCCACCAUUAUUCGGGCCUUCAGAGAACACAACAGAGUUGAAAGAUUGCCAUAUGCAGGUGGGAGGGCUUCCAGAUUCACACCAGCCCAAGAGGUCGUCAUUGUGGAUAUGGUUCGGGAGAACAAUGUGCUGAGACUACGGGAGAUACGGGAGAGGAUCAUUGGUGACAAUAUGAACUUUCCGAACAUUGACGAUGUUAGCCUGACAACCAUAGACAGAGUCCUCAAGCGCCAGAGAGUACGCAUGAAGCAGGCCUAUAGGGUACCCUUUGAGCGCAACUCUGACAGAAUAAAGCACCUCCGUCACCAGUAUGUGCAAAGGAUCUUCGAGUUGGAGUCCAUGGCCAGACCCCAUGAAUUUAUAUUUGUGGAUGAGGCUGGCUUCAACCUCACAAAAAGGAGGAGGAGAGGCCGUAACAUCAUAGGACAGAGAGCUAUCGUUGAUGUGCCCGGCCAACG